rnacentral:rRNA from 1 species
UACGGAGGGUGCAAGCGUUGCUCGGAAUUAUUGGGCGUAAAGGGUAGGUAGGUGGUCUCAUUUGUCUGGGGUGAAAGCCUUGAGCUUAACUCAAGAAGUGCCCCAGAAACGGUGAGACUGGAGUCCUGGAGAGGGUCGUGGAAUUCCCGGUGUAGCGGUGAAAUGCGUAGAUAUCUGGAGGAACACCGGUGGCGAAGGCGGCAUCCUGGACCGACACUGACGCUGAGGAGCGAAAGCCAGGGGAGCAAACGGG